rnacentral:rRNA from 1 species
CCCUGCAACUCACAACUGGUAACCCACUGAAGCUAAGCAGGUGUGAGCCUGGUCAGUACCUGGAUCGGAGACCUCCUGGGAAAAACUUAGGUUGCUGCUGGAA